AGUAAAUAGAUACCCAGGUAGUCCACGCCGUAAACGAUGAGUACUAGGUGUAGGAGGUAUCGACUCCUUCUGUGCCGCAGUUAAACACAAUAAGUACUCCGCCUGGGAAGUACGGUCGCAAGAUUAAAACUCAAGGAAUUGACGGGGGCCCGCACAAGCAGCGGAGCAUGUGGUUUAAUUCGAAGCAACGCGAAGAACCUUACCUAGACUUGACAUCCCCUGAAUAACGUAGAGAUACGCGAAGCCCUUCGGGGCAGGGAGACAGGUGGUGCAUGGUUGUCGUCAGCUCGUGUCGUGAGAUGUUGGGUUAAGUCCCGCAACGAGCGCAACCCUUAUCAUUAGUUGCUACCAUUUAGUUGAGCACUCUAGUGAGACUGCCCGGGUUAACCGGGGGGAAGGCGGGGAUGACGUCAAAUCAUCAUGCCCCUUAUGUCUAGGGCUACACACGUGCUACAAUGGUGAGAACAACGAGAUGCAAUACCGCGAGGUGGAGCAAAACUUCAAAACUCAUCUCAGUUCGGAUUGUAGGCUGAAACUCGCC
rnacentral:rRNA from 1 species